rnacentral:lncRNA from 1 species
ACUUUCUUCUAGCCUCUAAGGGUACUGCAUGCAUGUGGUGCAUAGACAUGCAUGCCACUAAUACCUAUACACAUAAAAUUUCCCUUCAAAUUUUUAUAAUAAGCUGGGCAGUGGUGGUGCACACCUUUAAUCCCAGCACUGGGGAGGCAGAGGCAAGCGGAUUUCUGAGUUCAAGGACAGCCUGGUCUACAGAGUAAGUUCCAGGACAGCCAGGCCUACACAGAGAAACCCUGUCUCAAAAAAAAAAAAAAAAACAAAAAAAAAAAAACCCAAAAACAAAACAAUAACAAAAAAAGAAAUUAUGAUGGGAAUUUGGCACAGUUAGAAAAGUGCUUGCCUUGCAAGCAUAAUAAGAAUCUGAGUUUAAAAGCAAGAGAAAUGGCUCAGGGUUAAGAGCAUAUAUUGGUUCUUGUGAGUUUGAUUUCCAGCACCCACAUUAAGCAGCUCACAACUAGAAUUCCAGUUUUAGGGAACCAACACCUCUCUGACUUCCUUGGUCACAUAGAAACACAUAUAUUCACAUUAAAAUAUAUGCUUCUGAGUUUAAAUCCUUAGAGGCCACAUAAAACUUGAGUACAUCAUAUCUGGAAUCUUAGGCAGAGACAGGUGAUAGAUCCCUGGCGCUCAUUAACAGCUAGCCUAGUCCAGUCAGCAAACUUCAGGAACAGUGAGGUCCUGCUUCAAAACCAGGACAGAGGGGCAAUGAGAUUGUUUAGCAGGUAAGAGAGUGCUUUGCUCAUGAAGCCUGAUGAUCCAGGUUUCAUCCCUAGGACACACAUGGUAGGAGAGGAAAGACUCCACAAGUCUUUGGCACAUGUACAUGCAUACACACAUGCAUGCAUACACACACAUGGACACGGACAUGGACACACGGGCUCUUAUAAACAAAGAAAUAACGAGAUUAUAUCGCAGUAUUUUUAUCAAGGUUGGCUUACUCAGUAUUUACUUGUUGAAUUAAUGACUGACAAUCAGUGACCAUGUACUAAGUGCCAGAAAUUUAACUUUACAUUUGUCAAAAAUUUCAUUUUCUGCUGUAUUUGUUAUGCUAAUACCAAUUAAAGAAAUAAUGAGCCUGGUGGUGGUGCACACCUUUAAUCUUAGUGCUCAGGAGGCAGAGGCAGGUAGAUCUUUGAGUUCCUUAGAACUCAGCCUGGUCUACAGAUGGAGGACCAGGAUAGCCAGGGUUACACAGAGAAACCUUUCAAGAGGGG